GCCCAAUGAUGAGAUUAUGGCAAGUUUGAUGAUCCAGACAGACCAAGAGAGUGUGGUCUCGAGCCUGCUGUUAGAUGGGUAAUCUUGGUAGUGUGGUGGAGUUAUAUUGCAUUGCUGUAAGGGCCCAUCCACAGUUAACAUGUCACCUUCUGUAACCUCUGCCCCCCUCCGAGAGCAAUGGGACGGGACAGAUAGAAGAUGUCAAACAAUGUGCGGAUGUUUGUGUGUGUUUAGUAUGAAUGUAUAUGUAUCAGCUGGCAAGAGGCUACAGUCUCAUUAUUGGUUUGGCGGGUAUGAAGUACUCUUUGGUAAUCUGAGGGCA